rnacentral:rRNA from 1 species
GGAAUAUUGGACAAUGGGCGCAAGCCUGAUCCAGCCAUGCCGCGUGAGUGAUGAAGGCCCUAGGGUUGUAAAGCUCUUUCGCCGGUGAAGAUAAUGACUGUAGCCGGUAAAGAAGCCCCGGCUAACUUCGUGCCAGCAGCCGCGGUAAUACGAAGGGGGCUAGCGUUGUUCGGAAUUACUGGGCGUAAAGCGCACGUAGGCGGACAUUUAAGUCAGGGGUGAAAUCCCGGAGCUCAACUCCGGAACUGCCUUUGAUACUGGGUGUCUCGAGUAUGGAAGAGGUAAGUGGAAUUGCGAGUGUAGAGGUGAAAUUCGUAGAUAUUCGCAGGAACACCAGUGGCGAAGGCGGCUUACUGGUCCAUUACUGACGCUGAGGUGCGAAAGCGUGGGGAGCAAACAGGAUUAGAAACCCCAGUAGUCC